GAUGAACGCUGGCGGCGUGCCUAACACAUGCAAGUCGAGCGUGAACCCUGCGAAUGAAACUUCGGUCGAUUUUGCAGGGGGAAAGCGGCGGACGGGUGAGUAACGCGUAGGUAACCUGCCCCAUACUGAGGGAUAGCCUCGGGAAACCGGGAUUAAUACCUCAUAACACCGUAUAUUCGCAUGGAUGUGCGGUCAAAGAUUUAUCGGUAUGGGAUGGGCCUGCGUCUGAUUAGCUGGUUGGUGGGGUAACGGCCUACCAAGGCGACGAUCAGUAGCCGACCUGAGAGGGUGAUCGGCCACAUUGGAACUGAGACACGGUCCAAACUCCUACGGGAGGCAGCAGUGGGGAAUAUUGCACAAUGGGCGAAAGCCUGAUGCAGCAACGCCGCGUGAGCGAAGAAGGCCUUCGGGUUGUAAAGCCCUGUCUAUGGGAAGAAGUCAGUGACGGUACCAUAGGAGGAAGCCACGGCUAACUACGUGCCAGCAGCCGCGGUAAG
rnacentral:rRNA from 1 species